AAAAGCAAUUCGGUUUGAUCACAGUUCUUACCAAGAAUCGAACCCAACCUACCUACCGGCUAACGUAUUGGAGAGCUCUCAUCACUCACCUCUCGCCGCAGCAGGUUGGCGAUUCCCACUCCAGCUUGGCGCCCAUGACUCCCCCAACUCCCUUAUUCACCAUCCCAACGUCAACUCCAAUUUCAAGCGCCACCACAUCGUUCUCGAUUAACAUAGGCGACUCUUUGACGUCUUAGAUUUUGCACGCGCUUCUUGUAGAGUAGGACGAGGGUAACUGUAGGGAGGGCACACUAGUAAUUUCGGCAACGCGUCGGAAUAAAGAAGCUGGACACUUGCUUCCGAAGUAACUGCACCCUGCUGCUCCCCUGCACCACAGCUUUUAAUUUUGGUUUUGAUCUCCUGUGCUCGCCCUCACCGUAAGUUUUCAUGUUUAAAUAAUAUAUUUAUCAUUAGCCCAAAAUUCAACUGUCGGUGUCCGAGAGUAGGUUUGUAGCAGCAUUAAAAUGAGCUCGACUACAGAGGAUCACAAACUGUUGUAUUUUCAAUUUGAGGGGUAUUUUUUGCUCUGCCAGUACUACCAGUAACAGAGAGAACAAAGCUAAGCAAAGGCAAAAGGGAAUCGAUGUCGCUUUAGAUCACCUCAUUUCCUUCGUUUGCAAGCGCACUCAAUCAUGGAAUGGUAGAUUUGGGAUUUUUAAGUUACACAUUGUUCAGGUAGGUUCCAGAUCUGGUUCAAAUCCAGCUUGUUUUUGCUUUUUAAUCCUUUUGGUUCCUUUUUAGAUUGGUUGUUUCUGUGUUUUGAUGCAGUUUGAGUAGUUUUCUUGAUUGGACUAGAUCUUUUUUCUUGUGAUCUAUAGUUGGCUUUUCUGGACUUGCAUUUUUGCUCCUUCUCGCUGUUCCACUUCCUCUCUGAUUUUGGUUCUUUAGCUCAUUCCUUGAUGGGCAUUUCAGCUGAUAUUUAGAUAAUUGGGAAUUCUAUAUGGUAAUUUGUUGCUUCAAAAGUUGGAGAUGCUGUGAAACUAAAACAAUUAAAGGGAGAAAAGACGUUUAUUUUUCUUCGUAAUUUGCAUGUUGGACUGUGAUGUUAUGAAAAUUAUGCUGUAUUUGAUUGGGUUCAAGUAGAAAAAUGAAGUAAUGAAUGCAGUGAGCAGAUUUGGUUCAGGCAUUUUACGUGUUGCGACAUUCUGAAUUAUAUUACUUCUUCUGUUUGCAAUUUAUGCAUGUUGAAUUUGUUAACGCAGGGAAAAAUAAAAUUGCAGGAACUGGGGUUUGGAUUUCUCUGGUUAUCAUUUAUCCAGUCAUGGGCAAAUCACCAGGGAGAUGGAUCAAGACCGUACUUUUUGGAAAGAAGUCUUACAAAUCUCAUACAGCAAAAGGGAGGGAGAGAACUGCAAACGAGAGAGAAGUAUUGGUUUCUGCAAAGGCAUCAGAAGCUGAUUCGAUUUCUGUUCCUCCUGUAAUAUCACAUCCAACCCCCGUUAUCACUGUUCACUCGGAAAGGCAGUUAGAACUUGAGAGCCAAGAGACUGCAGACUCACCACAUAAUGGGGGCAUAUUGUUGCCAGGAAAUCAAGAGGUAGAUUUACAAGGGUCUACAAACCAAGCCACGUUAUCUGAUGCUGAGAAAAUAAGGCAAGAGAAAGCUGCAACAUUGGUACAAGCUGCAUUUAGAGGUUUCUUGGCUCGUCGGGCAUUUUGGGCCCUUAAAGGCAUAAUAAGGCUUCAGGCGCUUAUCCGUGGGCACUUGGUCAGGAGACAAGCUGUUGCCACUUUGUGCUGUGUGCUGGGAAUUGUCAAGCUGCAGGCACUUGCUCGAGGAAUAAAAGUUAGGAAUUCAGAUAGAGGGCGGCAGGUUCUUAAAAAAUGCAGCAUGGUGAAGCCUUUGGUAAUUUCUUGAGUAAUCCCUCCCAUAGUCAAUUGCUAAUCAUGCCCCAUCUUUCUUCAUGAAUGUUAUAUAUUCUCAUUAUGGCUCAUUCAGAAUCUCUAAUGUAAUGAUAGUUUGAUAGUUGAGUUAAAUAUAUGAAAUAUACCCUUUACUUGCAUUCCUAUGCUAUGGUUGGACUUGGGGCACAUCUAAAUGGUAUGGGACAAUGACCUUAGAAUUAGAUGUUUUUAUGUACUAUAUUGGAGUAGCACAAUUAUCAAAUUAUUUGUAUAAGCCCAUUAGGCUACUUUCACUUGCAGAUUGUCUUUGUAAAUUUUAAACCUUUCUCGAUGUUGCAAGAGGCAGGUUGUUCAAUAUGGUUUAUUUUAUCAUAAGGUUAUCGUACAAAUUAAAUAAGUUAAGUUUGCAAUUUUUCUUAUUGCAUAUCUGUGAAUUAUUGUUUUAGUAUAUAUUAUUAUUAGGAAGGUGCAAUGAUAUUUUGAAUUACAUUACAUGUUUUUGUCUGUUUGUGUGAGAGAGUGAGAUCCAUUGGAAAACUUAAAUUUUGUUUCAGCAUGUAUCUUGGAAAAAAUCUAAAGAGUUCAACCUAUUCCAUCACUUUUCUGUUGUUGGAUGUGUCUUAUCCUGACCACAUGCUCAGGGUGAGACUAAUUGGUGAUCUACAUGUUUCAAUUUGACUAUUGUUUAAUUUCUGUAUGAUAUAUGUUUUCCAUCACAGGGCAAGCUUGAGGAUCCUAAUGGAGCUAAUGUUUCUAUCCAAAAAGCAAGGCUAUCAGCAAAUUCUUUUGUUCACAAGGUAUGAUGGGUGUCAUUCAUUACUGCCAUGUUAUGCCUGUGGGAAGGGACAUACUAUUUCUUUCUUUUUGAUAAGCAGUUAAUUAAGUUACCACAAAAACGUGUAAUUUAUGAAGAUGAACUAGAUGAAUUGAUUAUUAUGCUUUUUCCAUAUUGCAUCUUGCUUUAUUUGUGUAAGCAGUAAGCCGCUUCAGCAGAGAAAAUAAGCAUGGCCGAUGGCCCCAGCAUAUUUUCUAUCUGAUUGAGACAUAAUAAUGAUAUUGUGUAAGGAAAUUUUUCAACAUAAUCUCCUGAGCAACUCAUUUCAGGGCCUCUGUCUUAUUUCAUGUAUUAAGGUUUGGUGCUGAUAGAAGUACGAGUACAUAAAAAAUAAUCCAAGCAAGACCUACCCUUUCAAACUUCUAUUCAUUGCUGAAGUUUGCUGAUUAGGAAACAUCCAGUUAGUCAAACUUUCUUCUGUAAUGACAAGAGAGUUGUAAUUAUCACGAUAGCAGUAUCUUUUGCAAAUUUUCAGGGGAAUGUUAAACCCUUUGCUCCUUAAAUGAUUUGACAAGGUUGCAUCUGCCACAUAACUGGGUUCUAUGAGCUUCCUGUGCCUUUCAUCACAUCAACAUUAAAUGAACAUAGAUCUCUCUACUAGAACCUUUGAUUUUUUGGUAGCUUUCUUCAAUUUUGGGGUAUUGAUGUUUAGUAGUUUGAUUAAUUACUAUCAAUUAUAAAAUAUGCAUUGCCUUUUUUGCAUUUCUUAUCCAUUUAAUAUCUGCUGGGUUUGUUUCUUCAGCUUGUGGCUUCAUCACCUACUGUGAUGCCUUUGCGCAUUUAUUAUGACUCUGUGGAGCCAAAUUCAGUUCCAAAUUGGUUAGAACGUUGGUCAGCAUCUCGCUUUUGGAAACCAAUUCCCCAGCCAAAGAAGAUUUCUCACCCAAAAACUCAGAGAAAGCAGAAUAAUGGUCAUAUGCCAGAAGCAGAAACUGGUAGGCCCAAGCGCAGUGUUCGGAGGGUUCCAGCUGCAAAUGUUGACAAUACUUCAGUGCAAGCAACCUCUGAAAUUGAGAAACCCAAGCGCAAUCUUAGGAAAGCUUCAAGCCAUCCAGUUGAUAUGGUGCAGGAAAAUCCACAAAAUGAGCUUGAAAAGGUAAAACGUAAUUUGAGAAAGGUUCAUAACCCGAUAAUUGAAAGUUCUGUUCAGUCAGAGGCAGAAAUUGAGAAACCAAAACAAAGCUUGGAAAAGGCAUCAGGCAAUUCUGGUGAUAAUCUUUUGGGACAGAAUAUGAAUAAUUCAGGGGAGAAGAUUAGGAAAGAAACGACCUCGGCAACACCCAAACUGCCUGUUGUGGUGAAGAAUGAAUCAACCUUGGUAGCAACCAAAUUGCCUGAUGUCGGAACAACUCCAGAACCACUAGGAAUAAAUGAAGCACCAGAAUUUCUUAGUGAUCAAACUUUGGAUGAAUCAAAGCCUUCAGUAGAGAAUGGUGGUAAAGAUGAGAAUACUCCUGUUACAAAUGGGGAGUUAAGCCAUAAGGAACACAAGGAACAUCCAACAAUCAAUGAAAAUCAUAAAUUCAGCAGGAAAACCUCUAGUUUGGCAAAGCAAGAACAUGCAGAGAAUGGGUUACAGAGCAGUCCAGUACUCCCCAGCUAUAUGGCAGCUACUGAAUCUGCCAAGGCAAAGCUGAGGGCUCAAGGUUCCCCAAGGUUUAGCCAAGAUGGAGCUGAGAAAAAUAAUAGUGCUCGGCGCCAUUCUCUUCCAUCUUCAACAAAUAGCAAAAUCAGCUCACAAUCACCAAGGACAAGAACCAUUCAUUCUGGUGGCAAAGGGGCGAGCAAAAGUGACAAGUCUCUAUUAUCAACGAGGGAAGGAAAUGCAAAGGCAACCCAGGCUGAGUGGAGGAGGUGAUCUUUUGGAGCCUUGGGUUUCAAGGGGUUAGCUUGAGGAGCUGAGUUCUGAUUUUAUCUGCAGUUGUGGUUUUUGUGUCUGUGAUGUAAGAUCAUGUUGUGAAACAAAAAAGUGAUCUAUAGUUGGAAGGUGUGUUGGGCCCAGAGUCUUUUCUAGAGUAUCCUGCAGUAGAUGUUUGUGACUGAAUGUACAUCAUAGGUUUUGAAUUAUACGUUGUGUUACAAUCAUACAUUUAUUCUAAACUGUGUUUGGUUUUGACGUUAUAUUUAGCUGUUAAUAAUGUAAUUUUCUUUGCUUCUCUUUCAUCUUGGUAGGUGGCUGUUCAUGAUCAUGAUGUAAUUAAACUGUACUUGUGUUUACUUGGUUUCACGUUGAACAUUGAAUUUGCUUACUCGUAUAUAUCGUUAGUUAUCU
rnacentral:misc_RNA from 1 species